rnacentral:lncRNA from 1 species
GGGGUCCUAUUACAAAUCCCCGUGAGAUUUUGCUUGGCUUUGCUUUAACUGUGCAGCUGAAUUUGGGGCAAGAUCAAGAUUCUUACAGUGUUAAAUAUUCCCACCCAGGAGGUAUGCCUCUGCAUGCAUUUAUUCUGGCCUAGAUUUGUAUCUCUAAUUGGAACAGAGAAAACACCACCAGGCUUUCCAGUCCCCUCAGUGCAGAAAUGAUAGGAUUUAACCUGGGAUGGUGUUGCAGGAUUCUUGUACAGAGAGGCGGGAUACUGAGGCUUUUUGCCAGGAAGCAGCGAUUAUUCGUGCCGGCACUGGCUCAGCAAAUUGAUAUCCAAAGGCUGAACCCCGAAUGCAUGGGGUGCUGUUGUAUACACCCUUGGUUAUUUUUUUCUUUUACACUUUGGUCCCUUUGUCCCCCUUAGAAGAGAACAUACAUUCUGCAGUUCUGGUUGGAUGGUCUGUGUUACAAAGUUGCACAUGGAUACUGAUGACGUCUUGCUGCGGCAGAGGUACACACGUGCACACAGAUGCUGGUUAGGCCAUGUUGCCUUCCCUUUGCUCUGGGAGGGCCCUUCCCACAGCAGAGGACAGAAACUGAGCCUUGAGGAAACCAUGCAGUUAUGUGGCCAGGGCAGAAAGCAGAUCCAGAAAAAGAGGGCACAGAUGUUGCUGUGGGAGAACCAGGAUCCCGGGCUCACGGCCUAUGAGGAUGGUGAAACCAAGUGCUCCCUUGCACAGUGGCAGCUGGUGGGACACAGGCAGCAUCUCAGCACACACGCACUUGCCCAGUGGUGGUGUCUGUGGUCGGUGUGGAUCCUUAAGGGGGUAACUUUCUCCCAAAGGGAAACCUCAGCCUUGCCAGUCAUGUGGCCCAGGACCGGAUACCGCUCUGGCGGAAGCCAUGGGUGCAGAAGGGAGUGUGCUCAGCGAGAGAGACAGCUGGGCAGCCCAGGAGCCCUCCCACAUGGUGCCCAGGGCAGACAGGCUGGGGAGAUAUCAGCAUCUUGCUGAGCACACAUGGUCAUGGGCAUCACUCUCUGAAGCAGGGCCAGUCUCACAAGCACAUGCAACCCAAGCAGUUGCGCAGGACUCUGCUGUUGAAGGGUCCUACAAGCCACGUGGCCCCACUGCUCUGCAAGAAUCUGUCCUUAUCAGGAUGUAGGACUCUACGUGACUUUGGAGAAAAAUCUGAACAGAAACUCUAGGUUCCUGUAAGGGCCCAGAUUAAUGUACACCCCGGUCCCUACACAGAGUAGCAGAAGACUGGAGCCUUUAGCAUUCAGAAGAGGAAUUCAGAGAGCCUGCUCUGAGGCCAGGGAUGGCUCCCUCCCGUCCCAUGGUGAGCAGGCCCUGGGGGAUGGUGCACUCUGACCCCGCCGUGUCCUUGCUGAGGGUUUCCUUGCCCAUUGAUGCUUUUGAUGACAGCAAUUCUUCUUCCAUGAGGUAGACAGGGAUUCUCAACCACCCCUUCUGCUGUCUUCAUCAAGGAUCCUUCCAGAUAGUUCCCCAUCGGACACCUGCUUCCAUAGACCCUCCCAUGCACACUGGAAGAGCUGCCCUGGUGUGGAACAGGAACACAAUGGACAGGGGGCCUCCCCUCCCUGCUGAGAGAAGCAUGUUGGAGCAAUGUCAUAUACCUUCCUGACAGUGCCCCGUGCUUACCUGUGAAUGAGGGGAAGGAGUUUUAAGAGUUAUCAGAUAAGGUCCCAGCCAGCAGAGAGGUCCUGGUUGGGGACUGGGGUAUAGGUAAGCCAUCCGAGUUCAGUCACAGCCCCAGAGAUCAGAGCUCAUUCCAGGGUAGGAAGUGAUCCAAGGGCAUAAGCAUGCAGAGCCUUGCUUUGGAGUUGGAUACAAACCAAGAGAGUGAACUGGGAUGCUCCCCAGAGGGAGCAGCAGAGUCAAAUGAGUUUUUUGAAGAUAAAGGGGACUGGUCUUUUCCCUGGGUGAAAGCAGACAUGAUGAAACAUAGGGAUGGAUUUAUCCUGUAAUGAUUAAUGUAAGGAGGGCACACUGCCUGCCAAUUACGUGCCGUUUUGCUUAAGUGCCUUAACGAUAAGAUAAGAAA